AGUGAAAAAGAGGAAACAUGGCUGUGACGACCAGUCACCUGUCAGAAUCGAUGAAUGGUUGAAUAAACCUCAACCAACAUAAUCCAAUAAUAUUAUCUGGAGCAAGUAGAAAGCUUUUUGGAAUGAAGGUCGAACGUCUGCCAACCGUAAACACCACCAAAGAAUACCUUUAGCCGGUGCGAAAUCGUCAUGCAAGACUAUAUUCCGUCUCCACGAUUCGCGAGUUGAAAAUUAGGCGGUCAUCUAAUGGUUUCGGGGAAAAAAGGAGUCCUGCAUUGUAUAGCACAUUACAGCAUCAAAUUGCUCAAUCCAAUUAUCCACAGCAUUAUGGAGACGGUGUACAAUGGGUAGCAUCAGUUCGAUCAACGUUCCAUCUACCAUAGACGUGUAUCUGGUUUACAUGCCAGCCCACAAGCUGUUGUACGAAAUCUACUAUUUGGCACUCGCCAUUUCGACUGUGAUCAUAUCACGGCAAUAUUGCUGAUCCUGCAGUAAAUAUAACACUUCUAUAAAGUGAUUCAAUGGUUAGUUGAUUACGCUGCUACUGCUAUUGCUAAUUGGAAUAAGGAAAGUACUCCGAGCGUAAACACUCCUUUCGAUUUCCCGACGAGCCUUCUACCCGCGCUUUUCAUAGUUACUGGAAGGGACCACUUCAUAUCUAUGCCAACGAGUAUCGUACUGUAAUGAAUGCUAUGGAAAAUCGCAGCAGGAUCGAUUGUACAAUAAGGUGGGAGGCCAUAACCACGAUUGUUUCUGUUGGUGCACGAAAUUACAGGAUGCAUAAAUCUCGGGAGGUGGUAGGAAAUGUAUCGUUUGCGCAAUACCCUGAUUUGUACCGAUACUCAGACGUUGCUUCUGCUGGUUAUCUUCUAUAAAGCACUGCUGGCGUUACGGAUCUCUGCCUUUCCGGUUUGUGUGAGAAGCCGUUACACUGUCGCACUUGUAUCGGAACAAGUAUCCAUGGAUGUACAUUGUUAUAUUUAUCACCAAACAGAAUUUUUUAUUCGCGUCUGCUUGGAAAAGUGUGCUAACAUAUUGUGACGCUCGAAAUGGCUGAUUGUCCAAGCAAAAAUGUAAAAUGAUAGGACAGAAAUGAAAUUACUACAUCUUUACUCUGCCUGCAUAAGCUUUGAGAAAUAACUACUGUAAUAUAUU